rnacentral:rRNA from 1 species
CCUGCCAGUAGUCAUAUGCUUGUCUCAAAAGAUUAAGCCAUGCAAGUGUAAGUAUAAUGUUUUACGGUGAAACUGCGAAUGGCUCAUUAAAUCAGUUAUAGUUUAUUUGAUGCUAUAGGUCGAAAGGCCACUACAUGGAUAUCUGUAGUAACAUAGAGCUAAUACAUGCAAUAUAGUCUGACUUUUUGGAAGGACUAGCACUUAUUAGAUAUUAAACCAGUCCCAGCAAUGGGUUUUUGGUGAUUCAUAGUAACUGAACAAAUCACAUGGUCUUGUACCGGUGAUGUUCAUUCAAAUUUCUGCCCUAUCAACUAGAUGGUAGUAUAUAGGACUACCAUGGUUGUAACGGGUAACGGAGGAUUAGGGUUUGAUUCCGGAGAAGGAGCAUGAGAAACGGCUACUAUUUCUAAGGAAAGCAGCAGGCGC